rnacentral:rRNA from 1 species
UUNCACGUGUAGCAGUGAAAUGCGUAGAGAUGUGGAGGAAUACCGAUGGCGAAGGCAGCCUCCUGGGAUAACACUGACGUUCAUGCCCGAAAGCGUGGGUAGCAAACAGGAUUAGAUACCCUGGUAGUNCACGCCCUAAACGAUGUCGAUUAGCUGUUGGGCAGCAUGACUGCUUAGUAGCGAAGCUAACGCGUGAAAUCGACCGCCUGGGGAGUACGGUCGCAAGAUUAAAACUCAAAGGAAUUGACGGGGACCCGCACAAGCGGUGGAUGAUGUGGAUUAAUUCGAUGCAACGCGAAGAACCUUACCUGGUCUUGACAUGUACGGAACCCUCCAGAGACGGAGGAGUGCCUUCGGGAGCCGUAACACAGGUGCUGCAUGGCUGUCGUCAGCUCGUGUCGUGAGAUGUUGGGUUAAGUCCCGCAACGAGCGCAACCCUUGUCAUUAGUUGCCAUCAUUAAGUUGGGCACUCUAAUGAGACUGCCGGUGACAAGCCGGAGGAAGGUGGGGAUGACGUCAAGUCCUCAUGGCCCUUAUGACCAGGGCUUCACACGUCAUACAAUGGUCGGUACAGAGGGUAGCCAAGCCGCGAGGCGGAGCCAAUCUCACAAAACCGAUCGUAGUCCGGAUUGCACUCUGCAACUNG